rnacentral:rRNA from 1 species
GGCGGACGGGUGAGUAAUACAUAGGAAUCUACCCAGUAGCGGGGGACAACUUGGGGAAACUCAAGCUAAUACCGCAUACGCCCCACGGGGGAAAGCAGGGGAUCUUCGGACCUUGCACUAUUGGAUGAGCCUAUGUCAGAUUAGCUUGUUGGUGGGGUAACGGCCUACCAAGGCGACGAUCUGUAGCUGGUCUGAGAGGACGAUCAGCCACACUGGGACUGAGACACGGCCCAG